UACAGAGGGUGCAAGCGUUGUUCGGAAUUAUUGGGCGUAAAGCGCGUGUAGGCGGCUUUGCAAGUCGGGUGUGAAAGCCCUCAGCUCAACUGAGGAAGUGCGCCCGAAACUGCAGAGCUUGAGUGCCGGAGAGGGUGGCGGAAUUCCCCAAGUAGAGGUGAAAUUCGUAGAUAUGGGGAGGAACACCGGUGGCGAAGGCGGUCACCUGGACGGUAACUGACGCUGAGACGCGAAAGCGUGGGGAGCAAACAGG
rnacentral:rRNA from 1 species